rnacentral:tRNA from 1 species
GCAUCGUUAGCUCAGUUGGAUAGAGCAACCGCCUUCUAAGCGGUAGGUCAUAGGUUCGAAUCCUAUACAACGUG